rnacentral:rRNA from 1 species
UACAGAGGGUGCGAGCGUUGUCCGGAAUCACUGGGCGUAAAGGGCGCGUAGGCGGUCUGGUAAGCGUGUGGUGAAAGCUCGGGGCUCAACCCCGAGUCGGCCGUGCGAACUGCUGGACUGGAGCAUGUCAGAGGCAGGCGGAAUUCCGGGUGUAGCGGUGGAAUGCGUAGAGAUCCGGAAGAACACCAGUGGCGAAGGCGGCCUGCUGGGCAGUGGCUGACGCUGAGGCGCGACAGCGUGGGGAGCAAACAGG